UACAGAGGGGGCAAGCGUUGUUCGGAAUUACUGGGCGUAAAGGGCUCGUAGGUGGCCAACUAAGUCAGACGUGAAAUCCCUCGGCUUAACCGGGGAACUGCGUCUGAUACUGGAUGGCUUGAGUUUGGGAGAGGGAUGCGGAAUUCCAGGUGUAGCGGUGAAAUGCGUAGAUAUCUGGAGGAACACCGGUGGCGAAGGCGGCAUCCUGGACCAACACUGACGCUGAGGAGCGAAAGCCAGGGGGAGCAAACGGG
rnacentral:rRNA from 1 species